rnacentral:tRNA from 1 species
CAGGGAGUAGUUUAAUUUAGAACGCCAGCUUUGGGAGUUGGUAAUGAAGGUUUGAUUCCUUUCUCCUUGA